rnacentral:rRNA from 1 species
GAUGAACGCUGGCGGCGUGCUUAAUACAUGCAAGUCGAACGAUGAAGCCCAGAUUGCUGGGCGGUUUAGUGGCGAACGGGUGAGUAACACGUGAGUAACCUGCCUUUAACUCUGGGUUAAGCAAGGGAAACUGGGCCUAAUACCGGCUAGGUGCGUCUAACGAACGGAGGGUGCUGGAGAGAUUGAUCGGUUUUGGAUGGAUUCGCGGCCUAUCAGCUUGUUGGUGAGGUAUUGGCUGACUAAGGCGUCGACAGGUAGCCGGCAUGAGAAGGUGACCGGCCACACUGCGACUAAGACACGGCCCAGACGCCUACGUGAGGCAGCGGUGGGAAAUAUUACACAGUGGGCGCAAGCCUGAGACAGCGGCGCCGCGUGAGGGAUAACGGCCUUCUAGUUGUAAACCUCUUUCAGUAGAGAAGAAGCGAAAGUGACGGUACCUGCAGAAGAAGCACCGGCUAACUACGUG